UACGAAGGGGGCUAGCGUUGCUCGGAAUCACUGGGCGUAAAGGGUGCGUAGGCGGGUCUUUAAGUCAGGGGUGAAAUGCCAAGGCUCAACCUUGGAACUGCCUUUGAUACUGGAGACCUUGAGUCCGGGAGAGGUGAGUGGAAUUGCGAGUGUAGAGGUGAAAUUCGUAGAUAUUCGCAAGAACACCAGUGGCGAAGGCGGCUCACUGGCCCGGAACUGACGCUGAGACGCGAAAGCGUGGGGAGCAAACAGG
rnacentral:rRNA from 1 species